rnacentral:rRNA from 1 species
GUCCACGCCCUAAACGAUGUCAACUGGCUGUUGGGAGAGAAAUCUUUCAGUAGCGAAGCUAACGCGUGAAGUUGACCGCCUGGGGAGUACGGCCGCAAGGUUGAAACUCAAAGGAAUUGACGGGGGCCCCGCACAAGCGGUGGAUGAUGUGGAUUAAUUCGAUGCAACGCGAAGAACCUUACCUACCCUUGACAUGCCAGGAAUCCCGGAGAGAUCCGGGGGUGCCCGAAAGGGAACCUGGACACAGGUGCUGCAUGGCUGUCGU